rnacentral:lncRNA from 1 species
ACAUCUAAUGCAGCAAACACUGCUACUGUCAUCCGUGGAUCCAUCGUCGGUACAACCAUCGGAUAUGGCAGCGGAGAAGCAGAACUAUUAUUCUCUUUUUGAGACAUCAGAGAGGCCAGAGAGGUAUCAUCAUACGCUUGCAAUUGUCCUGGAUUUGUCAGCAGGAAAAAUCUUUCUGAGACAUCAGAGAAGCCAGAGAGGUAUCAUCGUACGCUUGCAAUUGUCCUGGAUUCGUCAGCAGGAAUAAAAACACCCCACUUUGCCUUGAACUAGCAAUUGGAGACAAGACCAUAUCAGCAAAUGAACCACUAAGGGUCAAGU